rnacentral:tRNA from 1 species
GCGCCCCUAGCUCAGCUGGAUAGAGCGUCGGUCUACGGAACCGAAGGUCAAAGGUUCGAAUCCUUUGGGGCGCG